UUGAAUAUGAUUCUCCUAAGUGAUCCUUUUUAGGAAAAACAUGUUCUUUUGCACCUAUUUACUAAUAAUAAUACUAAUGCUCAUGUAUUUAUUAUAUUUUUUAUCCUGCUGAAGGACUCCAGUGUCUGAGCUGCACUGAUUCAACGUGUUCAACUAUAGAAUCUGUCACAUGUUGCACUGAGACAAUGUGUAUCACAGCUUCUAUUCUCGAGACCAGCCUACUAGUUUCUUCUUCAGAACUCAGUUUCUUCAGAGGCUGUGCAUCUUCCUCUCUGUGUUCAUCCACGGGCCCAAAGACAUUCUCAGUGGAUCUGGGUCUCUCUGGUAGAUUUAUAUCUGCUGAAUGCUGUGACACACACAACUGUAACUCUCAGACCUUACCCAGUCCUACUCCUCCUCAGUCUACCAACAGUCUGCACUGUUUCUUUUGUGCUUUUAGUCGAUGUGACAUUAGCUUUGACUGUCAAGGAGAGGAGGACAGGUGUUUUCAAGGAACGGAUAUGACGGGUAAACCAAUUCGUGGCUGUACGUCUGCCAAUGUGUGCCAAGCUGCAUCAAUCGAUGGAAAGCUGCUAUUUGGUGAACUUACAAGUGGAACCACAUGCUGUAAUACUGAUCUGUGUAACAAUUGAAAUCUCGUUUAACAACUGCAUUGACAAAAUCUCCAAUAUCAUCCCCAAAGAUAAUCAAUCGUCCAUUUUAAUUCAACUUUUGUAAUUCAAUAAAUAAAUACUGGGCUUUGAUUUGUGAUGUAGA
rnacentral:lncRNA from 1 species